GGUGAACGCUGGCGGCGUGCCUAAUACAUGCAAGUCGAGCGAACAGAUGAGGAGCUUGCUCCUCUGACGUUAGCGGCGGACGGGUGAGUAACACGUGGAUAACCUACCUAUAAGACUGGGAUAACUUCGGGAAACCGGAGCUAAUACCGGAUAAUAUAUUGAACCGCAUGGUUCAAUAGUGAAAGACGGUUUUGCUGUCACUUAUAGAUGGAUCCGCGCCGCAUUAGCUAGUUGGUAAGGUAACGGCUUACCAAGGCAACGAUGCGUAGCCGACCUGAGAGGGUGAUCGGCCACACUGGAACUGAGACCCGGUCCAGCCUCCUACGGGAGGCAGCAGUAGGGAAUCUUCCGCAAUGGGCGAAAGCCUGACGGAGCAACGCCGCGUGAGUGAUGAAGGUCUUCGGAUCGUAAAACUCUGUUAUUAGGGAAGAACAAAUGUGUAAGUAACUAUGCACGUCUUGACGGUACCUAAUCAGAAAGCCACGGCUAACUACGUG
rnacentral:rRNA from 1 species